GUGGCGGCCCUGACGACGCGCGGGCUAGCGCAGCGUCGGAGUGGUCUCUGGCGGCCUACCCCGCGGCGGACCGCGAUGCUGAAGGCCAAGAUCCUCUUCGUGGGGCCCUGCGAGAGUGGAAAAACUGUUUUGGCCAACUUUCUGACCGAAUCUUCUGACAUCACUGAAUACAACCCAACCCAGGGAGUGAGGAUCCUGGAAUUUGAGAACCCACAUGUUACCAGCAACAACAAAGGCACGGGGUGUGAAUUCGAGCUAUGGGACUGUGGCGGUGAUGCAAAGUUCGAGUCCUGCUGGCCUGCUCUGAUGAAGGAUGCACAUGGAGUGGUGAUCAUCUUCAAUGCUGACAUCCCCAGCCACUUGAAAGAAAUUGAAAUGUGGUAUUCCUGCUUUGUCCAGCAGCAGUUCUUACAGGAUACUCAGUGUCUCUUAAUUGCACAUCAUAAACCAGGCUCUGGAGGUGAUAAAGGGAGCCUGUCUUUGUCGCCACCCUUGAACAAGCUGAAGCUGGUGCACUCAAACCUUGAGGAUGACCCUGAGGAGAUCCGGAUGGAAUUCAUAAAGUAUUUAAAAAGCAUAAUCAACUCAGUUUCUGAGAGCAGAGACAGGGAGGAGAUGUCAAUUAUCACCUAACCACCUUCACUUCCCAGAUGAAAUCAGCUUCCUUCCCAGUGCUGAUCUGAAAUCAGCCAGCUGCCGUUUUCUUCCCCUAUAGCUGUAGAAGACAUUUUCCUUCUCUGCUGGAAGGUAAUGAGGAGACCAGGCCUACUUAACAAUGCCAAAUGAAGGUACAGUUGAUCCUAUUCAUGGAUUUUGUGCUGGGGAAUUUGCCUACUCCCUAAAAUUUAUUUGUAACCCCCAAAUCAAUACUUGUGGCACUUUCUCAGUUAUUUCCAGAUAUGCACAGAAUGGCAAAAAAAAUCCCACUGAAUCACCUGACAUGUGGCCAGCUGAGGUCAAACAAGGGACACUCUGCCUUCUUGUUUCAGCUCUUACACUGUGAACAGGUGUCUUUGUUAUGGUCUACCUAGUGCCACCUUUUCAUAUUUUUUGUGCUUUUCUUUUCUCCACUGUUUAAAAUAACCCCAAGUAUAGUGCUGAAGUACUGCUAGUGUUUCUAAGUGCAAGGAGGCUGUGACAUGCCUUGUAAAGAAACUACAUGUGCAAGAGAAGCUUCUUUUGGAACCAACUGUUAGCGUAAUGGCUAUGUCGCUGGACUCCCACGUAGUCGACCAUGGUUCGUGUCCCGGACCCGGUGGCUUA